rnacentral:rRNA from 1 species
UACAGGGGGUGCAAACGUUGCUCGGAAUCAUUGGGCGUAAAGCGCACGUAGGCGGUCUGUUAUGUCGGAUGUGAAAGCCCUUGGCUCAACUGAGGAAGUGCAUCCGAAACUGGCAGGCUAGAGUACUAAAGAGGGUCGCGGAAUUCCCGGUGUAGAGGUGAAAUUCGUAGAUAUCGGGAGGAACACCGGUGGCGAAGGCGGCGACCUGGGUAGGUACUGACGCUGAGGUGCGAAAGCGUGGGGAGCAAACAGG